CCCUUAGAUGUUCUGGGCCGCACGCGCGCUACACUGACGAAUGCAACGAGCUUAUAACCUUGGCCGAAAGGUCUGGGUAAUCUCCAAAUUUCGUCGUGAUGGGGAUAGAUUAUUGCAAUUAUUAAUCUUCAACGAGGAAUGCCUAGUAAGCGCAAGUCAUCAGCUUGCGUUGAUUACGUCCCUGCCCUUUGUACACACCGCCCGUCGCUCCUACCGAUUGAAGUUUUCGGUGAAUUUGCAGGAGGUUUGCUUUGAAACUGGUUCGCCAGUGGAUUUGUGGACCAAAUGCAUGUGAAUCGAUGGCUUUAGAGGAAGGAGAAGUCGUAACA
rnacentral:rRNA from 1 species